rnacentral:rRNA from 1 species
AUAAACGCUAGCGGCAGGCCUAACACAUGCAAGUCGAGGGGCAGCGGAUGGAGUGCUUCGGUACUCCUGCCGGCGACCGGCGGACGGGUGCGUAACGCGUAUGCAACCUGCCUUCAACAGGGGGAUAAUCCGAAGAAAUUUGGUCUAAUACCCCAUAAUAUUCCGACAGGCAUCUGUCGGAGUUGAAAGCUUCGGUGGUUGGAGAUGGGCAUGCGUUGUAUUAGCUGGAUGGUGAGGUAACGGCUCACCAUGGCGAUGAUACAUAGGGGGACUGAGAGGUUUUCCCCCCACACUGGUACUGAGACACGGACCAGACUCCUACGGGAGGCAGCAGUGAGGAAUAUUGGUCAAUGGACGGAAGUCUGAACCAGCCAUGCCGCGUGCAGGAUGAAUGUGCUAUGCAUUGUAAACUGCUUUUGUACGAGGGUAAACACAGAUACGCGUAUCUGCUUGAAAGUAUCGUACGAAUAAGGAUCGGCUAACUCCGUGCCAGCAGCCGCGGUAAUACGGAGGAUCCGAGCGUUAUCCGGAUUUAUUGGGUUUAAAGGGUGCGUAGGCUGUUUUUUAAGUUAGAGGUGAAAGCUCGACGCUCAACGUCGAAAUUGCCUCUGAUACUGAGAGACUAGAGUGUAGUUGCGGAAGGCGGAAUGUGUGGUGUAGCGGUGAAAUGCUUAGAUAUCACACAGAACACCGAUUGCGAAGGCAGCUUUCCAAGCUAUUACUGACGCUGAGGCACGAAAGCGUGGGGAGCGAACAGGAUUAGAUACCCUGGUAGUCCACGCAGUAAACGAUGAUAACUCGUUGCCGGCGAUACACAGUCGGUGACUUAGCGAAAGCGUUAAGUUAUCCACCUGGGGAGUACGUUCGCAAGAAUGAAACUCAAAGGAAUUGACGGGGGCCCGCACAAGCGGUGGAGUAUGUGGUUUAAUUCGAAGCAACGCGAAGAACCUUACCAGGCCUUGACAUGGAGAUAAAGGCCCUGGAGACAGGGAGAUAGAUAUAUCUCACACAGGUGGUGCAUGGUUGUCGUCAGCUCGUGCCGUGAGGUGUCGGGUUAAGUCCCAUAACGAGCGCAACCCCUACCGUUAGUUGCCAUCAGGUCAAGCUGGGCACUCUAGCGGGACUGCCGGUGUAAGCCGAGAGGAAGGUGGGGAUGACGUCAAAUCAGCACGGCCCUUACGUCCGGGGCGACACACGUGUUACAAUGGCCGGUACAGAGGGUAGCUACCUGGUGACAGGAUGCCAAUCUCGAAAGCCGGUCUCAGUUCGGAUUGGAGGCUGAAACUCGCCUCCAUGAAGUUGGAUUCGCUAGUAAUCGCGCAUCAGCCAUGGCGCGGUGAAUACGUUCCCGGGCCUUGUACACACCGCCCGUCAAGCCAUGGGAGUUGGGGGUGCCUGAAGUACGUGACCGCAAGGAGCGUCCUAGGGCAAAACCGAUGACUGGGGCU